CAAGCCGGGAGGCCCCGGGACCGAGGAGGGUGUCGGGCGCGCGGCGGGGUCGCCGGGGCUGGCGGAGGGCGGCCCCACCCGGACCCCAGAGCAGAGGACGCUCGGGGCCGGGGCGACGCUCGGGGCCGGGGCUCCGCUCGGUGGGAAGGGUGGCGGCUCACGUCGGGCCGUGCAUUCCAGGGUCCCAGGCACUCGGACGCCUGUUGUCCGAGUGCCCCUCGCCCUUCCCAUCGCGGCCGCGCACUGUGGGGUUCAACCCCGUCGGGGACCGAGGCUCGUUGCGGCCUGUGGGAGUAACGGGUGCCAGGAAAUGUGGGACCCCACCCACGACCCUGCGCGGGGAGCGCGCAGCCCCAGUUGCAGGAAAAGCAGCGGGCGCAGAGCAGGCUGGGAAAGAACUUGUUGCGGGGGUGAUGGAGGUCGCGUCGUUGAACUUCCCGAACCCGCUGAAGAGCUGGAGGUGCCCCGCAGGCCUUCUCAGAAGUGCCCGGGUGCUCCAGGCAUCUUCCUCUCCCAGCACUGAACCCUCCCGCCUCCUACAGCAGAUGCUGCUGAACCAGGCUUGGCGCCUCCAGCACAUUUAAGAUUUUUUGUGUUUCCAUGAAUCCUUCAUGUCAUCUCACGUGUACCUUGCACAUACCAAGAAAGCCCAGAAUUUAUCUUAAAGCUACAAGCAAGGUGCCUGGCUGCCCUCAACACUUCCCUAAAGGGGGAAGGAAGUGACUAUGGAAAUGGCGGAGCCGAGCAAAACCAGGGAGGGCAGACCUUCCGUCACUGGUCAUCGUUGAGGCAAAAGCCCUGCGCGGCCUGAGCCCCGGCCCUGCCCAAACAGGGGUUGUGGAUUUUGUGGAAGAAUAAAUACCAUGGAAGUAAAGUGCCAUUCUCUUGACAUCAUACCAGAGGGACACGCUAUCAACAGGGAUGAUAUUAGUCCCAAUCACUAGACAAGGCAGUGUUUAUCGAGCCUCACCACCAUAAAGUUCUUUCUUUACUCCUUUCCAUGUUCUAUUCUUUGGAACCCAUUCACUAAGUACAGCCUACUUUUGCCUGUUUGUUUUUUAAAUAGCAUUGUUUGUCUUAGUGAGUUUUAGAAGUUUUUGUGUAUCCUAAAUAAAAGUUAUUAGAUAUA